GUAUUGAGAAAGCAGAAGUACAAGGAAAAUAAACUUUCUUGAAAUCUUUGAUGUUUCCAGAACUAGAAUAAGAAACCAGAUUUUCUUUAUUCUUGUUCUAAGUCCCUAGCCAACAUAACUCUGUUUUGAAAGACGUUGCUUGUCACCUUAAUGGUGAUGAAGUUAUCCUAUGUGUGCUAUAUUCUGAUUGAACUUGUUUUGUUGAACUAAAGAUGGAGAGAAGAAAAUCCAAUUUAAAAAAUCUACUUUAGAUGUACACCUUCCAGGAGAAGGGGAUAAAUUCAAGGAUCCUUGAAUUAAAAUUACGCAAUAUGAAAUAAGGAAAAACAUAGGGAAAACCAUUGUCCAUAUAUAGCACACCUUUUUGCCUUUCCUGAUUCUAUGGAAGAUCUUCUGUAAUUCUGCAAAUUGUAUAUAACCUCUGCUGGUCCAGUAGAACUUCAAUUGAAUUCCCUCCUCAUCCUGUGGAACAGAUAGUUUUGCCAUUUGCAUAUUCAACUUCCUGAUCUGUAAAUAUGUCUGUUUUUCUUUUAAACCAAUGAUAACAUCUGUCUGGUUCUCUCACUGAAAUACAUUCUUUAAGACAUUUAUUUUAUAUCUCUAUAAGAAUCAUGAUUUUACCCUUUUUGUUGGAAAAUUAUUUUUUAUCAUUCCUCUAGGACAGGAGUUCUCAACUUCAGUACUGUUGGCAUUUGGGGCCCAUCAUUUUUGGUUAUGAGGGCUAGUUUUGUGCCUUAAAGGAUAUUUAACAUCUUCUCUGGCCUCUACCCAUUCGAUACCAGUAGAAACACCCAGAAAUAUCUUCAGACAUUGUUAAGAGUUCCAGCUGCAAAUAUUUAAAAUCACCCCUGACUGAGAACAACUGUCCUGGGAUAAAAUAUAUCUGCUUUAAUUUCCAAAAAAAAGAUGAAUGUCUGCUGCUCAUUAUUCAUGUUAUUAGUUUACUGUGCAGCUGAUGUGUGUGUAUGUGUAUUGGUUACAGGUUCUACAGAUAAAGCUGUCAAUAAGACCAAAACACAAAUUUGCUUUUAGGAAACUUGAAUCUAAUUCCAGUUAGUGUCAUAUCCUGUUUAUGCAGAUUCUUGUUUACCUUUAGUCCAGGGAAAUAUAUUGUUACUCUGUAAAAUGAGGCUUUUCAUUGUUUUGCCUAUUUUCUCUUUUUUUCCUCUCUUUCUCUCUUUCCUUGGCUUUUUAAAAUUUAUGAGUUAAAUAAUGAUCCUAGUUAUAGCAUAAAAGCAUGCUAUGUAUCUAGGAAAUAAGUUAAUAAUAAAUAUGUAAGUG